UCCCUGGUGGCUUAGAUGGUAAAGCGUUUGCCUACAAUGCCAGAGACCUGGGUGCAAUCCCUGGGUUGGGAA
rfam:Ovis aries breed Texel chromosome 4, whole genome shotgun sequence.